rnacentral:rRNA from 1 species
GACGAACGCUGGCGGCGGGCUUAACACAUGCAAGUCGAACGGAAACGCCCUGCUUUUGUGGGGUUCUCGAGGGGGGGACGGGGGAGUAACAGGUGAGCAACCUGCCCUUGUCUUUGGGAGAAGUUCAGGAAACUGGGGUUAAUAUCGUAUAGCAGCUCCUGCUGCAUGGAGGGGAUUGGAAAGUGUGGGCGGGUGGGGAUGGGCUGGCGGCUGAUGAGUUUGUUGGUGGGGUAGGGGCUGACCAAGGCUUUGACGGGUAGCCGGCCUGAGAGGGUGACCGGCCACAUUGGGACUGAGAUACGGCCCAGACUCGUACGGGAGGCAGCAGUGGGGAAUAUUGCACAAUGGGCGGAAGCCGGAUGCAGCAACGCCGCGUGCGGGAUGACGGCCUUCGGGUUGUAAACCGCUUUCGCCUGUGACGAAGCGUGAGUGACGGUAAUGGGUAAAGAAGCACCGGCUAACUACGUG